rnacentral:rRNA from 1 species
UACGUAGGGUGCGAGCGUUAAUCGGAAUUACUGGGCGUAAAGCGUGCGCAGGCGGUUCGUUGUGUCGGUGGUGAAAUCCCCGGGCUUAACCUGGGAAUGGCCAUGGAAACUGGCGAACUGGAGUGUGGCAGAGGGGGGUGGAAUUCCGCGUGUAGCAGUGAAAUGCGUAGAGAUGUGGAGGAAUACCGAUGGCGAAGGCAGCCCCCUGGGAUGACACUGACGCUCAUGCACGAAAGCGUGGGGAGCAAACAGG